rnacentral:rRNA from 1 species
CUACGGGAUGCUCCAGUGGGGAAUAUUGGACAAUGGGGGCAACCCUGAUCCAGCCAUGCCGCGUGUGUGAAGAAGGCCUUUUGGUUGUAAAGCACUUUAAGCAGGGAGGAGAGGCUAAUGGUUAAUACCCAUUAGAUUAGACGUUACCUGCAGAAUAAGCACCGGCUAACUCGUGUGCCAGCAGCCGCGGUAAUACAGAGGGUGCGAGCGUUAAUCGGAAUUACUGGGCGUAAAGCGAGUGUAGGUGGCUCAUUAAGUCACAUGUGAAAUCCCCGGGCUUAACCUGGGAACUGCAUGUGAUACUGGUGGUGCUAGAAUAUGUGAGAGGGAAGUAGAGUUCCAGGUGUAGCGGUGAAAUGCGUAGAGAUCUGGAGGAAUACCGAUGGCGAAGGCAGCUUCCUGGCAUAAUAUUGACACUGAGAUUCGAAAGCGUGGGUAGCAAACAGGAUUAGAUACCCUCGUAGUC